ensembl:snRNA U6 U6 spliceosomal RNA
GCUUUCAAAGGAGAACCUGUAUUAAAAUCAGAAUUAUACAGAGAAGAUUACUAUGGGCCUUGCAAAGAAUAACAUACAAAUUUAUGAGACAUUCCAUAGUAAA